GAUGAACGCUGGCGGCGUGCCUAAUACAUGCAAGUCGAGCGAACAGACGAGGAGCUUGCUCCUCUGACGUUAGCGGCGGACGGGUGAGUAACACGUGGAUAACCUACCUAUAAGACUGGGAUAACUUCGGGAAACCGGAGCUAAUACCUGAUAAUAUAUUGAACCGCAUGGUUCAAUAGUGAAAGACGGUUUUGCUGUCACUUAUAGAUGGAUCCGCGCCGCAUUAGCUAGUUGGUAAGGUAACGGCUUACCAAGGCAACGAUGCGUAGCCGACCUGAGAGGGUGAUCGGCCACACUGGAACUUAGACACGGUCCAGACUCCUACGGGAGGCAGCAGUAGGGAAUCUUCCGCAAUGGGCGAAAGCCUGACGGAGCAACGCCGCGUGAGUGAUGAAGGUCUUCGGAUCGUAAAACUCUGUUAUUAGGGAAGAACAAAUGUGUAAGUAACUAUGCACGUCUUGACGGUACCUAAUCAGAAAGCCACGGCUAACUACGUG
rnacentral:rRNA from 1 species